CCUACGGGCGACUGCAGUGAGGAAUAUUAGUCAAUGGGCGCGAGCCUGAACCAGCCAAGUCGCGUGAGGGAAGACGGUCCUAUGGAUUGUAAACCUCUUUUGUCGGGGAGCAAAAGAUGCCACGCGUGGCGUUCCGAGAGUACCCGAAGAAAAAGCAUCGGAUAACUCCGUGCCAGAAGCCGCGGUAAUACGGAGGAUGCGAGCGUUAUCCGGAUUUAUUGGGUUUAAAGGGUGCGCAGGCGGAAGAUCAAGGCAGCGGUAAAAUUGAGAGGCUCAACCUCUUCGAGCCGUUGAAGCUGGUGUUCUUGAGUGAGUGAGAAGUAUGCGGAAUGCGUGGUGUAGAGGUGAAAUGCAUAGAUAUCACGCAGAACUCCGAUUGCGAAGGCAGCAUACCGGCGCUCAACUGACGCUCAUGCACGAAAGUGUGGGUAUCGAACAGGAUUAGAUACCCGAGUAGUC
rnacentral:rRNA from 1 species